GUCGUCUCCGUACUCGUUGAGCAGGCUGUAGGCCUCCUCCAAGCACCUGCGCUCGUUCAUGUUGCAGAAUGUAAACCUGUCCCAAGAUAGACACAGAGGUCAGACACUGUCCUUGUGGAACUCAGAGGUCAGUGGGGAAGGUGGAGCCUAGACAAAGAGUCACAGUGCAGCAUAAGUGCUGUAGUGGAUGUCUACUCCAGGUACGGUUGUGGCACAAAGAAGUGGAUGAACUCACUGGUGGUGGAGGCAGGAAAGCAUUACAGACAAG